rnacentral:lncRNA from 1 species
AGAAAAAUUGGUUUUUCUGGAACACAAAAUCCUUGAGUUAAGAAAGUUAUUUUAACAUUCAAAGUUCAAGCACAAACUCUCUUUUUAACCAAUCUCACUCAUUCCCAACUUCUUUCUUUUUCCUUUAUUUUUACAAUGAGCUCAUCUUUCAUGCUUUUUCUUUUCUUCUCUUUUCUUUCUCAUACUUUUCUUUCAUUUAACACUUGAGCUCAAUGCCUUUCUUCUGAUUUUCAAUUUCCCCCAACAACCCCAAAGUUGAACCUUAUCAUUAUCAUACAAUUAUUUUCAACCCAACUCAAGGUAAGGAUUUUCAAAGCAAGGGUUUUCAUCCUGUUUCAAGGCUAGGGUUAAAAAAGGAUAGAAGAAACAUGUUCUCUUUACUUUGGGUGAAUAUUUGGCUAAGUAUGGCUUCCAAAAAUGGCCUUGAUCAUAUGACAUACACAUGCAAUUCAAUAAUCAUAAAGAU